UGGCGGCAGGCCUAACACAUGCAAGUCGAGCGAAGUCUUCGGACUUAGCGGCGGACGGGUGAGUAACGCGUGGGAACAUACCCUUUGGUACGGAAUAGCCUCGGGAAACUGGGAGUAAUACCGUAUGUGCCCUUCGGGGGAAAGAUUUAUCGCCAAAGGAUUGGCCCGCGUUGGAUUAGCUAGUUGGGGUGGUAAUGGCACACCAAGGCGACGAUCCAUAGCUGGUCUGAGAGGACGAUCAGCCACACUGGGACUGAGACACGGCCCAGACUCC
rnacentral:rRNA from 1 species